rnacentral:rRNA from 1 species
GCAGUCGAGCGGUAGCACAGAGAGCUUGCUCUCGGGUGACGAGCGGCGGACGGGUGAGUAAUGUCUGGGAAACUGCCUGAUGGAGGGGGAUAACUACUGGAAACGGUAGCUAAUACCGCAUAACGUCGCAAGACCAAAGUGGGGGACCUUCGGGCCUCAUGCCAUCAGAUGUGCCCAGAUGGGAUUAGCUAGUAGGUGGGGUAACGGCUCACCUAGGCGACGAUCCCUAGCUGGUCUGAGAGGAUGACCAGCCACACUGGAACUGAGACACGGUCCAGACUCCUACGGGAGGCAGCAGUGGGGAAUAUUGCACAAUGGGCGCAAGCCUGAUGCAGCCAUGCCGCGUGUGUGAAGAAGGCCUUCGGGUUGUAAAGUACUUUCAGCGGGGAGGAAGGCGAUAAGGUUAAUAACCUUGUCGAUUGACGUUACCCGCAGAAGAAGCACCGGCUAACUCCGUGCCAGCAGCCGCGGUAAUACGGAGGGUGCAAGCGUUAAUCGGAAUUACUGGGCGUAAAGCGCACGCAGGCGGUCUGUCAAGUCGGAUGUGAAAUCCCCGGGCUCAACCUGGGAACUGCAUUCGAAACUGGCAGGCUAGAGUCUUGUAGAGGGGGGUAGAAUUCCAGGUGUAGCGGUGAAAUGCGUAGAGAUCUGGAGGAAUACCGGUGGCGAAGGCGGCCCCCUGGACAAAGACUGACGCUCAGGUGCGAAAGCGUGGGGAGCAAACAGGAUUAGAUACCCUGGUAGUCCACGCCGUAAACGAUGUCGAUUUGGAGGUUGUGCCCUUGAGGCGUGGCUUCCGGAGCUAACGCGUUAAAUCGACCGCCUGGGGAGUACGGCCGCAAGGUUAAAACUCAAAUGAAUUGACGGGGGCCCGCACAAGCGGUGGAGCAUGUGGUUUAAUUCGAUGCAACGCGAAGAACCUUACCUGGUCUUGACAUCCACAGAACUUAGCAGAGAUGCUUUGGUGCCUUCGGGAACUGUGAGACAGGUGCUGCAUGGCUGUCGUCAGCUCGUGUUGUGAAAUGUUGGGUUAAGUCCCGCAACGAGCGCAACCCUUAUCCUUUGUUGCCAGCGGUUCGGCCGGGAACUCAAAGGAGACUGCCAGUGAUAAACUGGAGGAAGGUGGGGAUGACGUCAAGUCAUCAUGGCCCUUACGACCAGGGCUACACACGUGCUACAAUGGCAUAUACAAAGAGAAGCGACCUCGCGAGAGCAAGCGGACCUCAUAAAGUAUGUCGUAGUCCGGAUUGGAGUCUGCAACUCGACUCCAUGAAGUCGGAAUCGCUAGUAAUCGUAGAUCAGAAUGCUACGGUGAAUACGUUCCCGGGCCUUGUACACACCGCCCGUCACACCAUGGGAGUGGGUUGCAAAAGAAGUAGGUAGCUUAACCUUCGGGAGGGCGCUA